CAAUGCCCUUUCCUGUGACCACUAUCAAGAACUGCUCAGGAUUCCUGCCAGCCUGUUAGCCUUUAUCGUUCAGUCAUUUUAGACCUCAAAAAGAACAUUCCAUCAAGGGAUCAGGUUCUAUCAUCUCACUGGAAUGCAAUUUAAGACAUCAUCUCCAGAAAACUGUGCUAGUUGGCAUCCAGCAGUGCCCAAGUAUUAUUUAACCCACUAGAACCUGUGACUGCAUCAGCUUUAUAUCCUGGACCUCAGCCUGGAACAAAGGAGAGCUACACUUGGAUACUAAACACAAGUGGUCUGGAUAGAUUAUGCUGGGAAAAGAAGCCUGGAGCAGGCAGUACAGUGGGAGAACAAGACAGAAGUGCUUGCCUUGGUGAUCCAAAAAAGGCAGGAUCCGGCCGGGGGCAAGGUGAUUAUUCUGUCUGAUGAGGAGAAUAAGAGCCAGUUUGUGGUAUUGACAGAAGAAUGAAAGUAAAGUCUUGAAAGAUGGGAAGAUCAGGAGCAGUCUGGAGUCAUGGUAUAUGAAUGAACUAGUGAGAGUGGGCACAAAGUCUGAAGAUCUUUGUAGUGCAGCUAAUGUCUAAGGGAGAAUAUACCUACCCUAGAAGAGACAUUAAACAACCAGGUUGUCUCUUCAUUCUGUUGAUUGUUUCCUUUGUUGUAAAAGAAACUCACUUUACAGGAAAAGAGGUGCAACAGUGGCUGGAUGAUUAUAAGAUCGACUGUUCCUAUUAAAAACUACACCAUCCAAAAGAGGCUGCCAUUGAAGAGCAAUAAAGUAGUUCAUAGAAGGCAUAGGAAGCUUACUGCAGGAAAGAAAUCCCUCAGAGUCCUGAAGAUACAGCUUUCAGAACUUAGGUGAAGCAAGAGGACUCAAGGUGUGCAAGAAUGGACAGUACAGAAUGCUCUGCUACACUGCUCAGAUUCCCCCUUCAGGAAGGAAGGACAAAUUCACUCAACUUCUGGGAGCAUUGAUGGUUGAGCUCUCAGCCAUCAGACCUUUUUGGAAGUUGCCCUCUUCUGAAAAGAGGCACAUUGCCCAAGAUCUUUCCUCCUCCAGAGCGCAGGCUGCACCUGAAGUCUGAUUGAUGUGGGGUAUGAUGGUCUGGUCUCCUUUCCCCAUCUAAAGGACUGUUCUAACCUCAGGGCUCUCCUUGAGUUUCCUUAGUUAGUUCUUAUUACUAUGUUGCAGUCCAACUUCUUCUUUGGCCUAAUUCUACUUUCCUCCCAUUCCCCAAUUGUUGAUCCUGACAGCAAUUUCCCCCCAAAUUUCUGUAAACUAAGCAUGAUCUCAGAGUCACCUGACCUGCAACAUUAUUACAUACACUAUAGUCCGUGCACUUAAAGAUUUAGUGAAAGUAUGCUGCUGAAGCUUGCCAGAACUUCCCUUCUUCCACUGAAAAUUUGUCUGUUCAUAGAUAUACACCAUUCGUUCUCUUCUCUACUUUGGCCAAUUAUCUUAUGUUUGGGAAGGUGUUCUGCUAGAAGACAAAAUAGCAAUUCUUAGAACUAGAAAGAAAAACACAUCAAAGUCUGUCCUUUCUUAUGUCUUUUCUAUCUACAACAAAUACCCUGUGAUAAAAAGGAUGAUAGGAAAUAUAAGUAGUUUGAGUCCACCAAAUAUUUGGCUUGAAGUAUUUGGGUAUGAAAUACAAACUCACUUGACCUGGGCUCAAAUUUGCCAGCACUUCUUUUCUUUCUUCUCUUUUCAGAAACAGACUUUAUUUAUAUCAAUGUUAACAUCAAUCACAUAACCAUCAGGAAGGCUGUAACUUUGAUUUUUUUUUGUCCAAUAGUUGGGCCAAGUUUACAUUUCUCUUAUUUUAUUUAUUUAUUAUUAUUAUUUUUUUGAGAUGGAGUCUUACUCUGUCACCCAGGCUGGAGUGCAAUGGCGUCAUCUCAGCUCACUGCAACCUCCGCCUCCUGGGUUCAAACAAUUCUCCUGCCUCAGCCUCCUGAGAAGCAGGGAUUACAAGUGUGUGCCACCACGCCCGGCUAAUAUUUGUACUUUCAGUAGAGAACGGGGGUUUCACCAUGUUGCUCAGGUGGUCCCGAACUCCUGACCUUGCGAUCCACCCGCCUUGAACUCCCAAAGUGCUGGGAUUACAGGUGUGAGCCACCGUGCCUGGACCAUUUCUUUUCUCAUAUAUCAGCCUAUGCCAGGGGGGAGACUGGCUGAGGUUAAAGGCUAAUGUCAAGUACUAACUGAACAACAAAUGGAUAACCUCAACAAUGCAAUAUCCUGGUUGAAAUUGUUAGUGAAUUUUUUUAGCAGACCUGAGAUCUAUGUAUCUCCAUUCAACAAGUAAAGGUAGACUAUUUCCUUAAAUGCAAAUUCCUAUAAAAAAUAUCAGAAGUAUGUUAUGUAUUUAAAGUUAAAAAGCAUAUAACUUUUUAAAUGUUUAAUAAAAUUCACCAGUAUACACCAUCAUUUUCAUUGAGAAAAGGUUUAUAAUCAUGAAUUCUAUUUAUUUAAUAAUAUUAUUCAAUAUUUUUCUUUCAUUUUUGUUAAUUUGAUUUGUUAUGGCUUCUCAAAAAAAGCUUGUCCUUUUCAUCUAAUUUGUUCAAUUUAUUUUCAUGAAACCGGUCACAUACUUAAUCUUUCAUUGCUUCUUAUAUAACCAAAUUUCCAUCCGGUACCAUUUACUCUGAGCCAAAGAACCAGAAGCCAAAAGAACUUCCUGUAGCAUUUCCUGUAAUACAUAUCUGCUGAUUAACACUUUUCUAGGUUGACAAGUUAUAUAGUUGUCUUUCAUUUAGUUUAAAGAUGUUGUUCCAUUGUCUUCUCAUUUUCAUUGUUUCUGAUGAGAGGUCAGCCUUGUUUCUUAUUAUUGGUCCUCUGCAUUUAAUGUGUAAUAUGUCUUUUCUUCUCUUGCUUUUCAAAUGUUCUGUUUAAUUCUGAUUUUCAGCAGUUUAAUAUAAUGUCCAUUGCUUGUUUUUUGCUUAGAUUCCUGAAAUUAUGUGUGGGUUUUUAAAUAAAGUUUGAAAAUUUCUAA